CGCGCUGCAGGCUGCGCCCGGGGA
rnacentral:miRNA from 1 species